GAUUGUUCCAUACCUGAAAAUGGAGUUAACAUCUCUAUGAUGGUGGUGUGUGUGUUUCAAGAGGAAUCAAAAGUCAUUGAUGUGGAAACUGAAGUGGAGAUAAAUUGUUACUUGCCCUGGAACACAGAGCUAAUGCUUGUCUGAGGACAAGUGGCCACCAAAGUGCUCCUCAACUGACCUAUUUAAAGUUGUAGAAAGGAGCAGUAGAGAUAUCAGAGCAGUUUAGAUCUUCAGGAUCUUCAGCCAGUAAUAAGAAAG
rnacentral:lncRNA from 1 species